rnacentral:misc_RNA from 1 species
UCCCCGUUGCCGGGGCAGUCUGGCUAGAAAAAUCCAACUAACCAUAAGGGUUGCGCUCGUUGCGGGACUUAACCCAACAUCUCACGACACGAGCUGACGACGGCCAUGCAACACCUGUCAUUGGGUUCCCGAAGGCACUCACUGCUUUCGCAGUAAUUCCCAAGAUGUCAAGCCCUGGUAAGGUUCUUCGCUUACCAUCGAAUUAAACAACACGCUCCACCGCUUGUGCGGGUCCCCGUCAAUUCCUUUGAGUUUUAAACUUGCGUUCGUACUCCCCAGGCGGGAUGCUUAACGCGUUAGCUUCGCUACACACCGGGUCGAUACGGCAUACAGCUAGCAUCCAUAGUUUACGGCGUGGACUAC